rnacentral:tRNA from 1 species
UGGGGUAUCGCCAAGCGGUAAGGCAGCAGAUUCUGAAUCUGCCAUUCCGGUGGUUCGAAUCCAUCUACCCCAGCCA